rnacentral:sRNA from 1 species
AGAUGGGCUCUGAAUAGAGGAAGGCAGGACACUCUUGAGAUGGGAUGGGGUUUCUCACAGCACCGUACAGGGACCACCUGCAAGAUCUCUUGAGGGGCUUGUGAAAAACACAUCCCUGAGGUCACCAUUCUUGACCUGCUGCUUAUUGAGUUUCUGAUGCCUGGGAUGUGCAGGUUUAACAAGCCCCCAGAUGAUCCUAAUAGGAUUCCUGCCUGAAAAUUGCUGGGUGAAGGCUCUUCCCCCUCCAAGUGAUAAAGAAGGAAAAGAUUGAUCCUGGAAGAACAUCCGUUAGAUGAGCAAAAUUUUGUGGAGCACUUCAUGAAGAGGAAUUACUAGGUCAUUUAGAAAUAUGUUUGAAUUGUGGAUCAUCUUGUAGGCCUUUCUGGCAUAUUUCUCCACUUAGAUCCACAAGACACAUCGAAUGUCUUUUUAUAAAGGGGUUUUUUAAUGCCCAUGUUUGACCCUCUCCACUUAACAGUCCCAUUCUCAUUUUAUAUAUGAAGGUAAUCUGCUUUACAGAAAAAUGUAAAGGACCUGCACUUCUCUGCUUUGUGGGCGAACCUUUCCUACACACCCAUACUUCUCUGCCCAGCUUGGAGCAGGACAGCUAUCGCUUUACAACAUUUUGAAGGCCUACUCACUUCUAGACCAGGAAGUGGGAUAUUGCCAAGGUCUCAGCUUUGUAGCAGGCAUUUUGCUUCUUCAUAUGAGUGAGGAAGAGGCGUUUAAAAUGCUCAAGUUUCUGAUGUUUGACAUGGGGCUGCGGAAACAGUAUCGGCCAGACAUGAUUAUUUUACAGAUCCAGAUGUACCAGCUCUCGAGGUUGCUUCAUGAUUACCACAGAGACCUCUACAAUCACCUGGAGGAGCACGAGAUCGGCCCCAGCCUCUACGCUGCCCCCUGGUUCCUCACCAUGUUUGCCUCACAGUUCCCGCUGGGAUUCGUAGCCAGAGUCUUUGAUAUGAUUUUUCUUCAGGGAACAGAGGUCAUAUUUAAAGUGGCUUUAAGUCUGUUGGGAAGCCAUAAGCCCUUGAUUCUGCAGCAUGAAAACCUAGAAACCAUAGUUGACUUUAUAAAAAGCACGCUACCCAACCUUGGCUUGGUACAGAUGGAAAAGACCAUCAAUCAGGUAUUUGAAAUGGACAUCGCUAAACAGUUACAAGCUUAUGAAGUUGAGUACCACGUCCUUCAAGAAGAACUUAUCGAUUCCUCUCCUCUCAGUGACAACCAAAGAAUGGAUAAAUUAGAGAAAACCAACAGCAGCUUACGCAAACAGAACCUUGACCUCCUUGAACAGUUGCAGGUGGCAAAUGGUAGGAUCCAAAGCCUUGAGGCCACCAUUGAGAAGCUCCUGAGCAGUGAGAGCAAGCUGAAGCAGGCCAUGCUUACCUUAGAACUGGAGCGGUCGGCCCUGCUGCAGACGGUGGAGGAGCUGCAGCGGCGGAGCGCAGAGCCCAGCGACCGGGAGCCUGAGUGCACGCAGCCCGAGCCCACGGUCGACUGACAGCUCUGCAGGAGAGAUUGCAACACCAUCCCACACUGUCCAGGCCUUAACUGAGAGGGACAGAAGACGCUGGAAGGAGAGAAGGAAGCGGGAAGUGUGCUUCUCAGGGAGGAAACCGGCUUGCCAGCAAGUAGAUUCUUACGAACUCCAACUUGCCAUUCAGGGGCCAUGUCCCAGUGUUUUUUUUUGUUGUUUUUAGAUACUAAAUCG